rnacentral:pre_miRNA from 1 species
AGUGGAAUUGCUGGGUCAUAUGUGUAACUCUAUGUUUAACAUUUUGAGGAACUGCCAAACUGCUUUGCAAAGUGACUAUACCAUUUUUACAUUCCUGCCUGCAAC